GGGCAUCUGGUCGAGUUGGUACGGCCUAGCGAUGUAAUUCUAGCGUUCUCAGCGUUCGUAUACUUACUCAAUAUCUUUACUCCGCAUCGUUAGGCAUCGGGGGUUCGAUUCCCUCGUUGACCA